AUCAUUUGUGAAUAUUUUUUCUCUCUUCUUUGGAAAAAAUCCAUUAUUGAAAUGAGUAAAAUGCUCAACGGUGACACGUGCAGGGCAGGCAAGAGGGGAAAGGGUAGUGUGUAAGGUGAUGAGAGGAGAGCAGAGGACAGGCUCCUGCUGCCCUCAUUACAUGUAAAAUGAAAAUAACAAACCUUGAUCUGUAUGUUCCCAGUGUCUACAGGCCUAUAUCCAAGCUGCCUUUUAUUUCAAAAAUUUUAUAGAAAGUUGGUGCCAGCAGCUCACUGCUGUCUUGACUACACACAUUUUAGACAAGUUCCAAUCAGGUUUCCGUCAGAAGCAUUCCAUUGCAACUGCUAAGAGUGUCCAAUGACAUAAUGAUGUCUUCUGAUGUGGGUGAGUGCUCCAUUUUGGUGCUGCUGGAUCUUAGCCCAGCUUUUGACACUGUGGAUCACAGAAUAAUGAUAGAAAGGCUUAAACAGUGGGUGUGUGUCUCAGGGAGCACCCUGGACUGGUUUUCCUCCUACCUCUCAGAUAGGAGUUUUUCUGUCACUCAGACUUGAUGCUCUUUCCUGUGGUGCGCCUCAAGGUUCCAUCUUGGGUCCUUUUUAUUUGCUUUAUAUAUGCUUCCCUUAGGUCAUGUUAUUAGCAAAUUUAGAGAUAUAUUCUAUCACUCUUACGCUGACGAUAUUCAGCUCUAUGCCUCUUUUAAGCCUGAUAACUUCAACAAACUGUCUGUGUUGCACAACUGUCUGACUGCAGUAUUUCCGCUGAUAACAUUUUGGAGUUUGCCACCAGAGCAAAAAAAAAAACAACAACAAACACACAAACACACAAAAGAAAAAUUCCUGCCUCUGCGGACACAUUACAGAAUUCAGCGCAUGCAUUACGGGUCCAACUAACUAUCUUAAAUUAAAGAAAAGAAAAUGAGCUUACUUAAGUAUUUUCUAAGGAAAAGAAAAGCAUGAGGUAGGUAAACAGAGCAGACAUUUAGGAGGAGACAAAUUAUUUCUCUCUAAUACUGAUAACAUACAUGGUUUCAUCGCUGCUGCUCUUAUCCCAGAUGACUCCAUGUAUGCUAUCAGUGUUAGCGGUUGCUAAAUAAAGUCCUCCCAGAUUAACUGGCGUUCAACACGCGAGAUGCUGCACAGUGGGCAGGAUACUCCAGAGCCGCCGGACUGGACCCAGGCAGCCACCCAACAUUCAAUACACACACAUCGAAGUUUAAAGCAAGAAGGGCCUAGCCUCAUAAAAAAGGAAAAACGUGAACAUAGCGCAGUUGUGGCGGUUUCUUGCCAUUCCCCACUGUUGGCUUGUCUGUAGUGCGGUACUGCAAUAUUGUGCUUAUUGCGACAGCCCUAGUUAUAGUAAUAGUUACUGAAAGCACAGCCUUUCAGUAACUAUUAUAUUACAACCUGAGCUUAUCUACACACUUUAUGACUGAUUAAAGUAAUGUGAAUACUGCUAAUGGCGUAUACUUUUCUGUGGCUGCAGCAACGUGCUGGUACUUCUCUCACACACUGGAAGAGACUCACUUCCCACAACGAGCCCGCUAGACUGAGUCACACACACACGUAACAAAGGUGCAGUUACGCUGUUGUUAUGUUGUUGAGUGAAGCACUGGAGACGGGCAAACUGUUGAGGACUUUAUGUAGCAACCGCUAACACUGAUAGCAUAUCUGGUUUUAUCUGCACUCACCCUACCUCUUUCACUCUACUUCUCUGUACGUCAUUCUGCAGUCUUCUACUUCUACACAGUCCCACAGUAACAGUGCACAGCAUCAACAUGCACAUUAAGCACCUCUGUGUUUAUUAACACAACAGCUAUUGGUGUAACCUAGCUUGUAAAAAAAAAAAGUAGUUAUUACUGUCACUGAAAAAUAACUAUAUUAAUUCAUAUAAUUAUUAAGUGUUUGUUUACCUUGAUAGACAGAGAGGGAACAUGGAUUGAAUAUGGGGAUGGAAGAGAACAGGAGAACUCAAGGAGUGACAGAUGAGGAGAGAGAGGAGAGGAAGCAAGGAGAGGAAAAUGUACAGGCAAGGGGAGCAGGAGAGGAGUAGGCAGAGGAAAGAGAGAAAGAUGAGACAAGCUUCCAAAAAACCUCUAAACACAGGAAGUCUGGAUGGGAACCAGAUUGGCCUAAUAUACCAAGAUACAAGCCUUGGCUGUACCAUACUUCAAAUGAUUGGAAGAAACACAAACUACAGAUCUCAUUUCAUAAUCGAUGAAAUGGUGGAGGUCCUUGCUGUGGCGGUGGAGGAGCCCGUCCUCAAAGCAAUACAGGCAUCUGUGGCCAUAGGACUUGAGGCUGAUGAGAGCACAGACGUUGCCAUCAUGGGCCAGUUGGAUCUGCGAGACAGCUACUAAAAGCAAAAAAUUUAUGUAAUUAUCAACCGGUAUUGCGGUAAUCCCUAAUUUAAUAGUCUUCUAUGAAAAUGCUUUAAUCAUUUUCAGAUACAUGGACCAAGAGGGGAAACUGUGGAGUGUGUUCCUAGACCUCGUCACGGUGCCAGAUGGGAGGUCAAACACAAUAGUGGUUGCAUUCAAGGGGGUUCUCCAGAAAAAGAACUUCCCCACACACAAACUGUUUGGGCUGGGGACUUAUGGAGCAGCUGUGAUGACACAUCAAAAAAUCUAUUUACAUACCUGGAUUCUUACUAGUAGGCUAUAUUAUGUGAUACAAAUAUGUAUUUACUCGAUUAAAGCAGAACAGCAUACUGGGGUUGCCAAACAGCUGCAGGACGAAUUCCCAUGGAUGGUGUCUGUUGCAUGUAAAGAUGCAUCCAGCACCGUGCCAUACAGGGAUACAUUUAAUGAGCACCUGCAGCAGCUUCAGAUUUAUUUCAAAAAUAGCUGCAACAGGACUGCUGUCCUUCAAGCAGCAUCAAAGGCCUGAUUUGACUGUGUAGGUAAUAGAAAAUUUUAAUAGUAAUUUAAUAGAAAAUGACAAAUGUCAAUAAUCAUUAUAAAUAAGAUUACAUCUGUAAUACAACUCCAGAACUGUUUGACCUAAUCAAUCUACCUUUAUUGUUAUCUCCUUAAUUUACGCUUUAGGAGGUCAAAGACACUCGCUGGCUGUCCAAGCACCAGGCCAUCACCAAUUUACAACAGAACCUCAGCACUAUGUUGGCAGCAUUAGCUGAGGAGGUGGAGGUAAACCAGUGCCUGCUGGCAAAAGGGCUGUACAAUUUUUGUGCCACAUACUGAUUUGUGGCAGCUGUAUACAUGUAAGCGGAUGUGCUGCCCCACCUGUCAAGGCUCUCAAAGAUCUUCCAAAAAAAGAGCAGUUCAACUUUCUGGCUAUUGGACAGCAGGGAUGCCUACAACUACUGUACAUUGUACAUACAAGUACAGUCACCAAUAAUUAAACUAUUCUUCAACUCAAUAUUGAAAUUAUGUAAGUUUCAAGCAAAAAAACUACAACAAAAAAACAGAAACAUCUUGUUUUAGGUCCCUGUGACUAUGGCUUCUAGAAAAUACAUUAAAAAUGCCAGUGAUUCCCAGCCCCCUGGUUCUUUCUUGGGAAAGUUACACCAGGACCUAGAUGACCCCAGAGGUCUUGGUGUCUUCAGCAUUAGGAAUGAAGAGGAGAGGAGGAGCAGAGGAAAAUAACAAAGACAGGGAGGGAUGACUAGGGAGCAACUCUGGGCAAGGUUCAGGGAGCAAAUCAUGGAUGCCGACAUGAUGCCCAAAAUGAUGAGUGGGGCCAGCUCUACCCAUGCCUCAGCCAACUAGCAGCCAUUGUGCUCACGGUGCCUGUUUCCUCUAUGAAUUGUGAAGACAAACCUAAGGAACAGACUGCAAGGAGAGCACCUAGCAGCCUGCAUUCGGCUGUCUAUUAAUGGGCCUCCCCUCAAGGACUUCCCAUAUCAAAGGGCCAUGGAAGCAUUCGAUGAGAAGCCCCUAAGAGCAAAAUGCUCCAACAAAUCCUGCAAUCUUUGUGUCAAUAAACAAUA